CUGCCGGUCAGCGCGUCAUCGCGUGACGGCCGCGUCACCUAAUGGCGCCUGGCAAUGGCCGGCGGCCCCGGCCCUUCGCUGUCCCUCGGUCCUCGGGGUGUCAGUGAGUUGAAGCAGCCUGAGGCCCUCAUCUGAUGCAGAAGCUCAAUCUUGAACUUUCCAGUCACCAGAAUCAUGAGCCAAAUAAACCUCUUUUCUUUAUAAACUA